AAUGAACGUUGGCGGCGUGCCUAACACAUGCAAGUCGAGCGAGAAAGCUCCUUCGGGAGUGAGUACAGCGGCGGACGAUUGAGUAACACGUGAGAAUUUGCCCUUCAGUGAAGAAUACCCUCGAGAAAUCGAGGUUAAUGCUGCAUACGUCCCUCCGGGGAGAAAGGUGGCCUCUUUGCUAUCGCUGAAGGAUAAGCUUGCGGCCUAUCAGUUAGUUGGCGGGGUAAAGGCCCACCAAGACUAUGACGGGUAGCCGGCCUGAGAGGGUGUACGGCCAGACUGGGACUGAGACACGGCCCAGACUCCUACGGGAGGCAGCAGUGAGGAAUAUUGCGCAAUGGGCGAAAGCCUGACGCAGCGACGCCGCGUGGAGGAUGAAGGUCUUCGGAUUGUAAACUCCUGUUAAGUGGGAAGAAAAGCUUGUUUCUAAUACAAGCAAGUUAUGACGGUACCAUUAGAGAAAGCACCGGCUAACUUCGUGCCAGCAGCCGCGGUAAUAC
rnacentral:rRNA from 1 species